AUUGAACGCUGGCGGCAGGCCUAACACAUGCAAGUAGAGCGAGCGGCGGACGGGUGAGUAAUGUAUGGGGACUGCCCGAUAGAGGGGGAUAACUUCUGGAAACGGUAGCUAAUACCGCAUACUAUCGGAUAACCCAUAUGGGAUUAGCUAGUAGGUGUGGUAAUGGCUCACCUAGGCGACGAUCCCUAGCUGGUCUGAGAGGAUGAUCCGCCACGCUGGAACGAAGAGACGGCGCAGACUCCUUCGGAGGCAGCAGUGGGGAAUAUUGCACAAUGGGCCCAAGACUGAUGCAGCCAUGCCGGGUGUAGGAAGAAGGCCCUAAGGUUGUAAAGUACUUUCAGUCGGGGGGCGUUACCGACAGAAGAAGCACCGGCUAACUCCGUGCCAGCAGCCGAGGUAAUUC
rnacentral:rRNA from 1 species